UACGGAGGGGACUAGCGUUGUUCGGAAUUACUGGGCGUAAAGCGCACGUAGGCGGAUUUGUAAGUCAGGGGUGAAAUCCCGGGGCUCAACCUCGGAACUGCCUUUGAUACUGCAAAUCUCGAGUCCGGAAGAGGUGAGUGGAAUUCCUAGUGUAGAGGUGAAAUUCGUAGAUAUUAGGGAGAACACCGGUGGCGAAGGCGGCUCACUGGUCCGGUACUGACGCUGAGGUGCGAAAGCGUGGGGAGCAAACAGG
rnacentral:rRNA from 1 species